UACGUAGGUGGCAAGCGUUGUCCGGAUUUACUGGGCGUAAAGGGAGCGUAGGCGGAUUUUUAAGUGGGAUGUGAAAUACUCGGGCUCAACCUGGGGGCUGCAUUCCAAACUGGGAAUCUAGAGUACAGGAGGGGAGAGUGGAAUUCCUAGUGUAGCGGUGAAAUGCGUAGAGAUUAGGAAGAACACCAGUGGCGAAGGCGACUCUCUGGACUGUAACUGACGCUGAGGCUCGAAAGCGUGGGGAGCAAACAGG
rnacentral:rRNA from 1 species